UUCUGAAAUUUAAGGCUUUAUUGUAAAAGAAAUUGGUUAUACAUUUAUUAUUUAAAGUAUUGUCCAUCGCUGGCCAUUACUUUCUCUCAUUUUUCGGGCAGCGUACCAAUCUCGCGUUGAAAAGACUGGUCAUCUUUUAUAAAGCGACCCACGUGUCGAUCCAAUUUUUUACUUCUUUAUAAGACUGAAAGUGCUGGUCAGUCAGGCCUUGUGCCAUUAAUCGAAACAAGUGAUAGUCAGAGGGAGCAACGUCUGAAGAAUACGGCGGAUGGUGUAGGACUUCCCAUUUCAACGUUUCCAAACACAAAUCAACUACUAUUUCCAUGAGCUUAUAUGACAGAUGUCCAAGUUUAUUAUAUGACGUUUAUGAUCUAUUUAUUUCGACCACUACUUACAGCUAAAGCCACCUAUAAAAAACAGCGGAACCAAAGUUGCAUACCUAAUAAAGAAAUAAAUUAUAAGUUUCCGCAAAUGAUGAUUACUCGGCUCAAAACUCAGCGCAGAAAAGUUGGCAUACAACCACUAGAACUAAGAAAAAUGAAGAUAUACAUUUAAUUGCUAGCUAUUUGCUAAUUCGAAAUCCAUACGUUUUAAAAUUUUUUAUUAAUUAUUUAAUUAGUUAUUGAUAAUUAAAUAUUGGAAAAUUUUUUUGUGUUAUUUCUCAGUAAAACAACGUAGUUGGCCACAGCAAAAAAAAUAAAUAAGUGCACUAAUUUGCUAA
rnacentral:lncRNA from 1 species